UAGUCGCAAACGACGAAACUUACGCUCUAGCUGCCUAAGGGCAGUUUGUCCGCUUCCUAGAAUACUUGUGGUUUAGGAACCCGACCGUAGCGCACGCACACAAGUCCGUAUAGAGUCAAGCCUCGGGGCUUUAUACCAAACUUAGAGGAUCGCAACUUGUACCCUGUUCGUCGGGUCACUUGGUGUUAAAACAAUAGACGAUAUCUAAGCAUGUAGUAUUCUCGAGCGUAAUGCUGGCGGACGCGGGUUCAACUCCCGCCAUCUCCACCA
rnacentral:tmRNA from 1 species